CGACGACGGGUAGCCGGCCUGAGAGGGCGACCGGCCACACUGGGACUGAGACACGGCCCAGACUCCUACGGGAGGCAGCAGUGGGGAAUAUUGCACAAUGGGCGGAAGCCUGAUGCAGCGACGCCGCGUGAGGGAUGACGGCCUUCGGGUUGUAAACCUCUUUCAGCAGGGACGAAGCGCAAGUGACGGUACCUGCAGAAGAAGCGCCGGCCAACUACGUGCCAGCAGCCGCGGUAAGACGUAGGGCGCGAGCGUUGUCCGGAUUUAUUGGGCGUAAAGAGCUCGUAGGCGGCUUGUCGCGUCGACUGUGAAAACCCGUGGCUCAACUGCGGGCCUGCAGUCGAUACGGGCAGGCUAGAGUUCGGUAGGGGAGACUGGAAUUCCUGGUGUAGCGGUGAAAUGCGCAGAUAUCAGGAGGAACACCGGUGGCGAAGGCGGGUCUCUGGGCCGAUACUGACGCUGAGGAGCGAAAGCGUGGGGAGCGAACAGGAUUAGAUACCCUGGUAGUCCACGCUGUAAACGUUGGGCGCUAGGUGUGGGGGGCCUCUCCGGUUCUCUGUGCCGCAGCUAACGCAUUAAGCGCCCCGCCUGGGGGAGUACGGA
rnacentral:rRNA from 1 species